rnacentral:rRNA from 1 species
GCGUGGCGGCGGCUACCAUGCAGUCGAGCGGUAACAGAUCCAGCUUGCUGCCUGCUGACGAGCGGCGGACGGGUGAGUAAUGCAUAGGAAUCUGCCCGAUAGUGGGGGAUAACCUGGGGAAACCCAGGCUAAUACCGCAUACGUCCUACGGGAGAAAGGGGGCUUCGGCUCCCGCUAUCGGAUGAGCCUAUGUCGGAUUAGCUAGUUGGUGAGGUAACGGCUCACCAAGGCCACGAUCCGUAGCUGGUCUGAGAGGAUGAUCAGCCACAUCGGGACUGAGACACGGCCCGAACUCCUACGGGAGGCAGCAGUGGGGAAUAUUGGACAAUGGGGGGAACCCUGAUCCAGCCAUGCCGCGUGUGUGAAGAAGGCCCUCGGGUUGUAAAGCACUUUCAGCGAGGAAGAACGCCUAUCGGUUAAUACCCGCUAGGAAAGACAUCACUCGCAGAAGAAGCACCGGCUAACUCCGUGCCAGCAGCCGCGGUAAUACGGAGGGUGCAAGCGUUAAUCGGAAUUACUGGGCGUAAAGCGCGCGUAGGUGGCUUGAUAAGCCGGUUGUGAAAGCCCCGGGCUCAACCUGGGAACGGCAUCCGGAACUGUCAAGCUAGAGUGCAGGAGAGGAAGGUAGAAUUCCCGGUGUAGCGGUGAAAUGCGUAGAGAUCGGGAGGAAUACCAGUGGCGAAGGCGGCCUUCUGGACUGACACUGACACUGAGGUGCGAAAGCGUGGGUAGCAAACAGGAUUAGUCCC